rnacentral:rRNA from 1 species
CCGGGUAGCUACGUACGGACGGGAUAACCGCUGAAAGCAUCUAAGCGGGAAGCCCCCCUCGAGAUGAGUUCUCCCCAGAGCUUUAAGCUCUCUGAAGGGCCCUCGUAGACUACGAGGUUGAUAGGCUGGGUGUGGAAGUGCAGUAAUGCAUGAAGCUAACCAGUACUAAUUGCCCGUGAGGCUUGACCAU